AAAUUGGAAGAGAAUUCACACCACACCAAAGCCUUGAAGCCUCGAAACUCUGAAGCUCUCAAGCAAAUCCCGAAGGAUCAAGAAAGCCCUCUUCGUUCUUCGUGAAAUCCUCCUUCAAGAUCAAGCCCCAACGCCCCUUGAAGAACUUCCACCAAUUCAAGAUCAAGCCCCGACGGCCCUUGAAGAAGGUGUUCAUCAUUCAUCAACUGUUCGUCCAAGAUCAAGCAUCGACGGCCCCUGGAUCAACAACACUACAUCUACACGUUUCAAAGAUAGAAUCAGAGGCUAAAUUUGUAGAAGA
rnacentral:lncRNA from 1 species